rnacentral:rRNA from 1 species
AACGAACGCUGGCGGCGUGGAUAAGACAUGCAAGUCGAACGGGACAACAUUUGUAGCAAUACAGAUGUUGUUUAGUGGCGAACGGGUGCGUAACACGUGGGGAAUCUGCCCGAGAAGUGGGGGAUGGCUCGCCGAAAGGCGAAUUAAUACCGCAUAUGAUCAGGGAAGACAUCUUUCCGACAUCAAAGCCGGGGCAACCUGGCGCUUCUUGAUGACCCCGCGGCCUAUCAGCUAGUUGGUGAGGUAACGGCUCACCAAGGCUUUGACGGGUAGCUGGUCUGAGAGGACGACCAGGUCACACUGGAACUGAGACA